UGCGUGAGCUAGUCCCUUUAUAUGGUCUUUUGGGAAUUGUAGUUUCCGCCCCCCCCUUCUUCCGUUUCAUUUCCCGUCUACAGCCCCACGGUCAGAGGCUUUUGCCUGAAAGAAAAGAGAUCCAGUGCCGCCCCAUCUCCUCACUGUCCUGAAGCUCUUCAGGGGCCCGUCUGUAUCAGACUCACCUCCGACUCAGUUUCCCGCUGGAGCCAGUAGGCAAUCCUCAGGAGAACACUGCCCUCUCCCAGGCGUACCUUCACCCAGGACUCAAGGCGAAGGAAGGCUGAAGACGAGGUGUCGUUCUGUGCCUCAGCUUGUCGAAGGCAAGCAGCAGCGGCGCGGCCCGGCUCUCCAAACUCGAGCUUGUCCCUUCCCCCACCCCCUCGUCUCAGGGCUCCUUCCCUCCCUCCCCCAUCCGUCUGCAAACUCAGCGCCCACGAAAUUAGGAGGGAAAAGGAAGAUCGAUGACUCCAGAUGCCGCAAACACCGUUUCCCCUCCCCCCCCACCUGCCUCCUCCCGCCAGCUCCGCGGAGCUUAGCAGGUUGUCAGCGCUCUGCCUACGCUGUCCCUGCACCUCCAUCCCAUUCAAAGCCUUAUACCUCCUCCCCCAAGUAGUCCCAAAUAGUCCGCUGGUGGUCCCCUUUCAGGUCUAAUCCCCAUUCUAUUUGCAGCAGCUUCACAUCGCCCACACCUGGGAGGAAAAUCCUCACCCCAGGCAGGGCUCUUAUCCCAAGGGUCUCCUCCACGUGUAUCUGAUGUGGUCUUGGAUGACCUCCAAGGUGCUAGCUCUGUCAAUAUUUGCCUCGGUUUCCCCAGGAGCCGCGGUGGGAGGAGGCCCUGGCCAGACAUAAAUCCACACCACCACCCCACUUCCCUACAAAGGUCUCACACAGACGCCUAUUGGAUUUCACUUUAUUUUGUUCCCUUUCCCGUCUGUUUUGGCGUUAAGUAAAUAAAUAAAAUCACUGAGAGGAAGCAGCCGGAAAGGUGGAGCAAGACGGCAGGGACAGGAGGGAGGCGGGCAGAGGGCAGGGGCCCGAGUCAAUCGCCUUCGCCCAGGAGUUCUG